AAGGAUAUUCAUGGACAUUACAGACACAUGGUAAAAGGCAGCAGCCCCGUCUAUGUUACGGCACCUGCGACACAUGAUAACAUUUAUCAUUCUGAGUCUUCAUUGUCACCUUACCUGUGAGCCCGGAGCCUUUCUGUCAUCAUCUCAGGAGAGACCCUUCUGGCGACACUCGGCAAACAGGCCAGAGGGUGAGGAAGCUGAAGAGUCCAGAGCCUGAAGACAGCACUGCUGAACUGCAAGAGGAUAACUAUGAGGCCAUCUAAAGUGUCAGGAACACAAGAAUGAGCAGCACCAGAGCCAGUGGAACUUAGAGGUUCAUCUAGAGAAAAAAAAAACCAUGAGCCAAAAAGCCAGUCUGAGAACAAGACGAUCAUUGAUGGUGAUGACAGAGAUGAGUUGAGACAGGGCGACAUGACUGACACACGAGGUGGCAUCAGAUAAUCAGAAGUCUCUGAGAUGGAACUGGAGAGACAAAAGAACAAGGUCUGAAAACUGAGGGUAGAGCAACUCAAGCUAAGAAAACAAAGCAACAAAUAAGAGAAAAAGCAAACACCCUAAGAUACGAAUGAAAAUAACGUGGUCCAUGAUGUUUUUCCAAGGAGCAGUUCAGCCUCUAUCACCAGGACAACAGCUUGUGAACCUAUCCUCACCUGGAGAGUUAAUCUGGGGUCUGGUGUCAUGGAUGUGACACUUGGCUCUAUUCCUGGACACAUGACUUGCUUAGGAACAGAGAAAGAUGAUCAGAAGAAUGAGAUCAAGGAGCUCCAGCAAGACCAGUGCACAGGGGUGGUCUUGCUUUCUUUGCUGUGUAUCUACAGAGCCUCGGGAUAUCCCAAAACGCAAUGAAAGGGCGUCAUGGUGUAAAGAUCACCAAGGGUUAGAAUGACACUCUCACUGGGUGUGGAGACAAACUUAUAAACACUGGACAGUACAUUACAAAUGGAAAGCUUGUGAACUCCUGCACCACUCUCUAACCCAACCAGGCAAAUGAUCUAACAAGGCAGCACCGAAGCCC
rnacentral:lncRNA from 1 species